rnacentral:rRNA from 1 species
GACGAACGCUGGCGGCGUGCUUAACACAUGCAAGUCGAACGAUUAAGCCUAGCUUGCUAGGUGGAUUAGUGUCGAACGGGUGAGUAAUACGUGAGUAACCUCCCUUUAACUCUGUGAUAAGCCUUGGAAACUGGGUCUAAUACCGGAUACGACCAAUCUCCCCAUGGGGUGUUGGUGGAAAGCUUUAUGUGGUGGUUAUAGAUGGGCUCACGGCCUAUCAGCUUGUUGGUGAGGUAACGGCUCACCAAGGCGACGACGGGUAGCCGGCCUGAGAGGGUGACCGGCCACACUGGGACUGAGACACGGCCCAGACUCCUACGGGAGGCAGCAGUGGGGAAUAUUGCACAAUGGGCGCAAGCCUGAUGCAGCGACGCCGCGUGAGGGAUGACGGCCUUCGGGUUGUAAACCUCUGUUAGCAGGGAAGAAGAGAAAUUGACGGUACCUGCAGAGAAAGCGCCGGCUAACUACGUG